UGCCCAGCAACUCCCUAUACCUACCUCCUCGUGGUACUGGCCCGGAGUACGAGUAACCUUGGGGAAGAUCGGGUAACCAACCCCGGUGGGAACUUUGGUCGUAUGCUGACAGGGAAGG
rnacentral:ribozyme from 1 species